UCUCUCUCUCUCUCUUUCUCUCUCUCUCCCAAACCCUUUUGCCUCUUCAUCUUCCUCAUUCUCUUCCUUUCCCAACUCCACAGACAAUCCCCACCUCCCAAAUCCCUAUUCUCCUCUUCUCUCCGCUCCUCUCUUUCCCUCUAUUUUACCCCCCACCCCUCCCCGACCCUAAAUCCCAAAUCCCGUGGGUUCGAGAAGCGUCACCAUGGAGAAUUAGCACUAGUUCGUCAACGCGCGAGCCAUCAGGUUGUUGGAGGGUUUGCUUCACACGUUGACGAACUAAUGUGUGGGGCUGCAGAGUAAAGGGUUUUGCACGCUGUAGCCUCCGUUGGCCUGAAGUGGAUCAUGCACACUGAACCCUCCAACAACCUGAAGCAAACCUUCCGACAAUCUGAAGCGGAGCUUGCACUAGUUCGUCAACGCGCGAGCCCUCCGACAACCUGAAGCAAACCCUCUACUCUGCAGCCCUCUCUCAUCAGUUCUAGCACCCUGCAGCCCAUUGCCCCUUUAGCCCUCUGUGAGCCGCGCCUAGCCUCUAUAAAAUAGGGUUAAGUAUCUCAAGGCACCAACAUUAGCACUUGUUGCGCCCCACACAUUUUUGAAGAAAAAGCGGAUCUUAUGUUCUCUUGAAGGUGUAACCUGAGAUUUCCCAAGCUUCAUGGAGUGAAAUCAAGUCAUUGUGCUCUUCUGGUUAGUGGCACCUGAGUAGAUCUGAACACUUCUAGAUUGAAGCUUUUUCCUCUUCUUCAUCUUC